CUUUGAACGCAAGGGGGUGUUGUCGGGGUGAAGCCCCGCCUCCUCCAUUUCCGAGGCUGUUUCUGGGGCCUCUGACAGACCUCAGCGUGUGAUGGGCUCCCGGCGUCGCACUGUGAGAGACCGAAGUCUGCAAGCAGAUUUCAACAAAAUCCAAGAUUCUUCCAGGAACAACAGCAAAACCACUCUCAAUGCAUUUGAAGAAAUAGAGGGCUGUCUUCCUUUCUCUGCCAUCGUGGUGUGUUCUUGACUCCGCUUCUCGCCAUGUCUUCUCACAAGACUUUCAGGAUUAAGCGAUUCCUGGCUGAGAAACAAAAGCAAAAUCGUCCCAUUCCCCAGUGGAUUCGGAUGAAAACUGGAAAUAAAAUCAGGUACAACUCCAAAAGGAGACAUUGGAGAAGAACCAAGCUGGGUCUGUAAGGAAUUGCACAUGAGAUGGCACACAUAUUUAUGCUGUCUGAAGGUCACGAUCAUGUUACCGUAUCAAGCUGCAAAUGUCACCACUAUCUGGAGAUUUCGACGUGUUUUCCUCUCUGAAUCUGUUAUGAACACGUUGGUUGGCUGGGUUCAGUAAUAAAUAUGUGAGGCCUUUCGUUUUAAAAAAAAAAAAAAAAAAAAAGAAAAAGAAAUAGAGGAGUUCCCGGAAACGUCGGUGUAGAAGCAGAACCCAGAGCUGGUGUGCGCGUGCGCUGUCUGGCGCUGCAGGCGGAGUCACCGACUCUGUGCAGAGAGGAUUCGAGGGAUGAUGGAGUCUGGCUCUGCUGGCCUAGAAGCAGAGUGCACCCUCAUGCUCAGUGCUCAGUGGGUGUCUGAACUGAGGGGCAGUUGUCAGUUUGUCUGAGUGGGAAACAUCCUGGAUUUUGUUACUUGGCAAAGAGUUGGUGUAAACCUACAGCCAGCAGCAGUCUGGAGCCUGGGAGCCUCCUGAAGUCCUGGGUGAAGCCUCUGGUUUUACCAAUUGCAGGUCGGCUUGGCUGGGAGAGAUGGGUGGCGGGGAAGGGGCAGGAACCUUGAGGAGGAGGGAGAGGAGUCUUUCCUCCUACAGCUUCCCCCUGUCAGCCCCAACCCCAGCCCACACAUUGUACCAUCUCUCCUGCUGUGACUGGGUUGCCUGAAUUUGUGGGAGACCCUUGAUUCCAUCCCAGAGUGUGCGGGGGACGGAGCUGAAGGGGAAGCUUGUGAGAGAGAAGCAUCUGCCAAGACUUCGAGCUUAUUUUUAUGUCCUCAUCCUCUGAUGUUCUCCUUCUGAAAUGACACGGAGUCAGUCUGGGGGGCAGAGGUGAAGUGGAGACGGAAGGAUUUUCCAGGUGACCGGGGCCAAAACCACCAGAACAUCCACUCUGCCGCCACUGUCUGGUGAAAGGAUUCAUGUAAAAAUGUUCGAGGUGGAAUUAUAAAAAUAGUAACCAUAAGUGUUAAUCUUAAAUAGCAGAAAUAGAAACUUGGCCUUCAGAUAACAUGGCGAUUGAUUAGUUCAUCUGGCUUGAGGCAAACUGAGGAGUCCGGGCCUAGCAGUGCCCUCUGGGCCGGUUUCUCUGCCCUGGGCCACUCUGUGUGCCAGACUAGCUGGACAGAUAGAGACUCUGUGCCCCUGAUGGGGCUGGCUGGGGAGAGGUGGGCUGGGGUGUGUGAGGCUUCACCAUCCACAGCAGCCCCUGCCCUCCCAGCUGACCCAGGGAGUAACCGCACGCUCUAAGCCACAGUGGUCGGGGCUGGGCGUGGACCGCUGGAGAAGAGAAGAUUUGAGGGGGACUGUCCUAGAGGCAGGAGGAGCGGAUGUGUUCCAGAAUGGGCAGAACUAGGAAACUGAGAAAGAUUUUGGCUCAAUAGAAUCCAGCAACUGCUCCACAUGUUGGAGAUGUGUAAGCAGAAGCUGGUCGAGCACUUAAUGAGGAAUGUUGUUGAAAAUGAUCAUUGGAAGAAGUUUAAGAUCUCUUUUAGCCUGGAGAUUGUACAAAUCAGCAUUCCACAUCUGGAGUUAGCGACCCGCAUUAAGCCUGAACAGACAUCUUGGUCUGAAAGGAAGUGGUUUGGAUUCAUGACGCCACGCUCUACACUAUGGAGCUGGGAAUUCCAGAAUUGCUUUGACUCAGAUAUUAAUGGAGAAAGUUAUAUCCAUUAGUGGAUAAAGCCAUAUCUGUUAUGGAUAAAGCCAUAUCCAGAACUGCUUUGACUCAGAUGUGAAUGGAUAAAGCCAAUUAUUGAUUUCUAUUUGCCUAACCUGCCAGCUUUUGUCCCAGCGGCGAAUGGAGAGCCACACGGAUGUUUGUCGUCUCCCACGUUUUGGUGAUCUGCUGUCUGUGGGUCUCGAUGGAAUUUGUUGGCAAGACCGUUUUCUGUAUUGGAUAUUCUUCCCAACAGUGUCCACCCCAAAAGGCUUUCAGCCGAAAGGUCUGAGCCUAGGUAGGUUUACCAAGGGAAGCCAUGAGUCAAGAAGCAUCAGAGUGAAAAGGAUCACUUCCUUUAUUUUACCCGCAGGGGCUAAUGCUCCGAGAGGAAUGUGUACUUGGGCAAGGUCAUACAGGAAGGUCAUAUCAGAGCUGUGCAGGCUGGAGUGUCCUGAUUCUUGGACCACAGAUGUCUCCCUGAGCCAUUAUUUAUUUAUUUUUGAAAAGCACAGUUAUUCCAUCAUUUUGAGUCUUUCUUUGUAGUUGGCUUACAUUGGGGGGCAGGACUGUUUUCUCAGGUGUCUCAUUUGGCAGUCAGCAUUGUCCCCUAUGUUCCCUAUGACUAGCUGAAAAUUCAAGUGUGCCCAUAGGGGUGCACAAAACCACACCCACACCCACACCCCCACACACAUACCCACACCCCAUUAAACCCAUGGGUCUAUCAGGACAUCUUAAAACUCCGUGAUUGGCCGGGCGCGGUGGCUCACGCUUGUAAUCCCAGCACUUUGGGAGGCCGAGGCAGGCAGAUCACGAGGUCAGGAGAUCGAGACCACGGUGAAACCCUGUCUCUACUAAAAAAAAAAAAUACAAAAAAAUUAGCCGGGCGUGGUGGCGGGCGCCUGUAGUCCCAGCUACUCGGAGAGGCUGAGGCAGGAGAAUGGCGUGAACCUGGGAGGCGGAGCUUGCAGUGAGCCGAGAUUGCGCUACUGCACUCCAGCCUGGGCGACAGAGCGAGACUCUGUCUCAAAAAAAAAAGAAAAAAAAGAAAAAAACAGACAACCCCAUCAAAAAGCAGGCAAAGGAUAUGAACAGACACUUCUCAAAAGAAGACAUUUAUGUGGCCAACAAACGUGAAAAAAAGCUCAUCAUCACUGGUCAUUAGAGAAAUGCAAAUCAAAACCACAGUGAGAUACCAUCUCACGCCAGUCAGAAUGGUGAUUAUUAAAAAGUCAGGAAACAACAGAUGCUGGCGAGGCUGUGGAGAAAUAGGAACACUUUUACACUGUUGGUGGGAAUGCAAACUAGUUCAACCAUUGCGGAAGACAGUAUGGCGAUUCCUCAAAGAUCCAGAAGCAGAAAUACCAUUUGACCCAGCAAUCCCAUUACUGAGUAUACACCCAAAGGAAUGUAAAUCAUUCUACUAUAAAGACACAUGCACACAUGUUUAUUGCAGCACUAUUUACAAUAGCAAAGACAUGGAACCAACCCAAAUGCCCAUCAAUGAAAGACUGGAUAAAGAAAAUAUGGCAUAUCUACACCAUGGACUACUACAUAGCCAUAAAAAGGAAAGAGAUCAUGCCCUUUGCAGGAACAUGGAUGAAGCUGGAAGCCAUCAUCCUCAGCAAACUAACACAGGAACAGAAAACCAAACACCACAUGUUCUCACUCAUAAGUGGAGUUGAACAUUGAGAACAUAUGGACACAGAGAGGGGAACAACAAACACCAGGGCCUGUUGGGGGGUAGGGGGUGAGGGGAGGGAACUUAGAGGAUGGAUCAAUAGGUGCAGCAAAACACCAUGGCACACGUAUACCUAUGUAACAAACCUGCAUGUUCUGUACCCGUAUCCCCCCCCUUUUCUUGGAAGAAAUAAAAAAAUAAGAGGGCUCUAUCCAUCAUGGCUGUUGGCUGUCAAAUUAUUUUGAGUGAAUAGAAACCCAUGGUUCCACCUGGAGAACAGAGGGUAUAAAUCCCUCCUGUCCACCACACAGGAUUUUCAGGAGGAGGCACUGACAGAAUGGAUAGGAAAGAGCUGACGUUGUUACUAUCAUUAUUACCGAUCAGCCUAACUCAUAGGUAUAUGCAGUUCUUCAUUCCUUUGAGUUAUUUCAUAAGGAUGGCUGUUCUCAACUUGAACGCCAAGUCUUGAAUGCUUGUCUUGAUGGGUUGUGGAACUUGCAACCGAUUUGUUAAUAAGUGAAAUACUGCAUUUGGUGAAUUAUUUACUUAAUUCAGAUGAUUCCCAGAAUAACUUCCUUCACUGGGAUGUAUCUUGUUGAGUGGCAACAAAACAAGGAUUGUACGUGAUUCCCAUCCUAGCUUAAUAGGCGUUAGUCCAAAACCCAGGAAUGUGCCAUCCGUGGGGAUGUUUUGGGUGGAUGGGUAGAAAAAGGGUGGAAACCCUUGUCAUAGGAUAUAUUUCUGGGAAGGAGAUGCCUAGGUCAAUAGGUUUCAACAUUUUUAUGGUUCUUGAUACUGUGAAAAAUUACCUCCCCAAAGGAUUCCAUCAAUGUGUUCAGCCUUUGAGAUUGUAUGCUACACCGUUUACAGAGCUCUUUCGGUCAUGUUGGUUAUUGUUUUGUAGGUUUGGUGAGUGUCGUACCCCAGUUUAACAGGUAGGGAGAUCGAGACUUGGAGACAGACGGAAUGACAUGUGAAGUUCACAAUCCUUUUUCCUGGCCGGAGGAUCCAGGUUCUCUGAAGCUUAGUUGAGACUGAGCUAAAGUUAAUCUGCGGCGACGUUCUGGAUAUACUGGACAAACACCUCAUUCCAGCAGCUACCACUGGCAAGUCCAAGGUUUUCUAUUACGAAAUGUAGGUUCUAUACUAACAAUUAACAAGUGUACUUCAAUACAUUUAAACAUUCUCAGGAAUAAUUGGCUUUGUUUCUUUUUUUUCUUAGGCAUUUAAUAUUAUUUUCCUUAUUAAAUAUAACCAAAAAUCCCACAGAAAUUAACAAGAGGAGGAGCCUCUAAAUAUCAACAAAAUUAUCACUUGAUAGACUAGAAUUAAACAAGCAAAUGAUUCUAAGAAAUGGCACAAGUGUAUUCAUCAUAAAAUAAAAUUUCUACAUGAAACAUUCA